AGAGUUUGAUCCUGGCUCAGGACGAACGCUGGCGGCGCGCCUAACACAUGCAAGUCGAACGAGCGAGAGAGAGCUUGCUUUCUCAAGCGAGUGGCGAACGGGUGGGUAACGCGUGAGGAACCUGCCUCAAAGAGGGGGACAACAGUUGGAAACGACUGCUAAUACCGCAUAAGCCCACGGCUCGGCAUCGAGCAGAGGGAAAAGGAGCAAUCCGCUUUGAGAUGGCCUCGCGUCCGAUUAGCUAGUUGGUGAGGUAAUGGCCCACCAAGGCGACGAUCGGUAGCCGGACUGAGAGGUUGAACGGCCACAUUGGGACUGAGACACGGCCCAGACUCCUACGGGAGGCAGCAGUGGGGAAUAUUGCACAAUGGGGGAAACCCUGAUGCAGCGACGCCGCGUGGAGGAAGAAGGUCUUCGGAUUGUAAACUCCUGUUGUUGAGGAAGAUAAUGACGGUACUCAACAAGGAAGUGACGGCUAACUACGUGCCAGCAGCCGCGGUAAAACGUAGGUCACAAGCGUUGUCCGGAAUUACUGGGUGUAAAGGGAGCGCAGGCGGGAAGACAAGUUGGAAGUGAAAUCUAUGGGCUCAACCCAUAAACUGCUUUCAAAACUGUUUUUCUUGAGUAGUGCAGAGGUAGGCGGAAUUCCCGGUGUAGCGGUGGAAUGCGUAGAUAUCGGGAGGAACACCAGUGGCGAAGGCGGCCUACUGGGCACCAACUGACGCUGAGGCUCGAAAGUGUGGGUAGCAAACAGGAUUAGAUACCCUGGUAGUCCACACCGUAAACGAUGAUUACUAGGUGUUGGAGGAUUGACCCCUUCAGUGCCGCAGUUAACACAAUAAGUAAUCCACCUGGGGAGUACGACCGCAAGGUUGAAACUCAAAGGAAUUGACGGGGGCCCGCACAAGCAGUGGAGUAUGUGGUUUAAUUCGACGCAACGCGAAGAACCUUACCAAGUCUUGACAUCCCUUGACGAACAUAGAAAUAUGUUUUCUCUUCGGAGCAAGGAGACAGGUGGUGCAUGGUUGUCGUCAGCUCGUGUCGUGAGAUGUUGGGUUAAGUCCCGCAACGAGCGCAACCCUUACUGUCAGUUACUACGCAAGAGGACUCUGGCAGGACUGCCGUUGACAAAACGGAGGAAGGUGGGGAUGACGUCAAAUCAUCAUGCCCUUUAUGACUUGGGCUACACACGUACUACAAUGGCGUUAAACAAAGAGAAGCAAGACCGCGAGGUGGAGCAAAACUCAGAAACAACGUCCCAGUUCGGACUGCAGGCUGCAACUCGCCUGCACGAAGUCGGAAUUGCUAGUAAUCGUGGAUCAGCAUGCCACGGUGAAUACGUUCCCGGGCCUUGUACACACCGCCCGUC
rnacentral:rRNA from 1 species